rnacentral:lncRNA from 1 species
GCCCUGGCAGCUCCCAUUGCCUCAUCCCCCUCCAGAAAGCACCAGGUAUUGUACCCCCACUGACCACAGCCCAGUAGUGCGAACAGAUGGCUAUUUGGUCCUCACGUUGUUCAUCUAUGUUCUCCCUGAAUAUAUCAGGCAGUGAGGAAAAAGUGACUGAGGACAAGGCUGAAAGUCAAUGGUCCUGCCGGCUGACUUUCUUCCGGGGUGACUGACUAUGGUUCCAAAGUCCCGCAUCUCACUCUCAGCACCCAUGAAGCGGACACCCUGUAUUCAAGGAAAAUUGACUUUGGAUUGAGUUCAUACAAAACCAGAGAGUGGGGAGCAAUGUUUCUCAGAACUCAAGUGAAAAAAACAUAAUGUAGUUAAUAUUAAAUAAGGAGAUUGGGCAACCCUGUCCCCCCGU